GGGGAUGACCGGUUUUGACAGAGAAUAUAGUGUGUUUAUGGCAAGCCAAAGUUUUGUUCGGUAUCUUUGUAACUAAACCGACACUCCCAGAACUCACUGGGAAGACAAAAAUAAUCGUCGAAAACAAAGCACAAAGCUUUUUUGAUGCAGUUGCUGAGAAAGUUAACUCUUUCUUCGGCUUCCAGCUCAACUUAGCUGCCUAAGACCGCUCGAGCCUAGCUCGCGGUUAGAAGCCUUCUUUAGUUAUCUUUUCCUGAUGGGAUACUAAAGGAGAAACACAGUCAGGAUGCAGACUGUGCAGACUUGUAUGCUUUGCACAGCGAAGAAGAUGCAUGCAGUCGAUUGGUGGUUUUUGCAGGUUUCUAUUACCAAUCGUCUGAAAUAAAUCUGCUAAGCUUGUAGAACAUAGAUGCACGAUUUUCUGGACGCGGGUUCGAUUCCCGCCAUCUCCAAAA
rnacentral:tmRNA from 1 species